rnacentral:rRNA from 1 species
UUCUUAUUGGGUAUGUUCGCACGAACAGUCGCAACCAUUUUUGUAUUUCCUUAUCUUCGUGCGAAAGUCAUGCUCCAGAGUGAAUCUAAUAAUUUUCAUGCGAAU